GCGUGAGAUGGAGAUCCAAAGACGCUUUGGAAGGCUGCUGAACACAAACACGCUCGCGUCGGCCCUCUGCUGGCAGCAGCCGGGUGCGCGGCGACGGUCAGAUAGGCUGCUUCUCCGUCCUUUUCAACAUUUCUGAGCCCGCUAUUCACCAGGCCAGCUUGCCUUCGGGAAUCUCCCUCCACACACUCCAAGGCGUGUUCCAGCUGACCCCCCCCUUUGCUGUGAUGGCUCAAAUCCCAAGUCCUCCACUCACCAGCUCUAAGACACCGGAUGAGACAUUUAACCUCUUCUUGUCCUGAUUUCCUCCUCUGUAAAAUGGGGAGCACGCUGGGACCUGCUUCAGAGCGGUUACGAGUUUGAAAUGAGUUCAGAUACAGAAAACACUUGGAACAGCGCCUGCAUGCUCCAGGAAAGGAAUUCACAUAAAGUAGACACCUAAGGAAAUGAGCAUUGGAGUGACACUCAGAGAACCCCGAGACAGGGAGACGUGGGAAACCGAUGUGCAUUUGGAGGUGAAAGAAGCUGGAAAAAUCGUUGCUGGCAGUGCUGUUCCUGGAAGGGAGACGAAGGCGGGAAGACACAUUUGGGUUACAGGAAGAGGCGGCCCCUCAUGCAGCAUCUUUAGUCUAUAAGGGCCCAGGGCUCUGCGCUGAAAGCACUAAUUGGAUUUCAUUAAGGCGAAAUAGAUUUCCUAGCACUGGAAGAGCCAGUUCAUUAAUUUCACACAUGCUCUACUGGAGGAAGGCAUGGGGAAGGGCAGCCAGCCCCAGUCUCCCCAGGCUAAGAUCAGAGCUGGGAGCCCGCUGCAGUUUGGUGCAGAGCCUGGAUUCUGAGCACCUGCUCCAUGCCAGUGCCUGGGCUGGCCAUCGGGGGUGCAGUGAUGAACCAGAUACAACCACCACCUCCGGUAACUCGGUCUUGGAGGAGGCAGCCGCACAAGGCAGGGCGUGCACAGUGACAGGGUGCUGGACAAGGGUGUGUUCCAGGUACUGGACAUCCCGUGGAGCAGACCGACCUGGUGCUGGAGCUGAGAAGAGUGAUCUGGGCAGGAAUUUUAAAUUGGGGACAUUUGAACAUAUAAAAGGUGGUCAAUGCCCAGGUCCGGAUGACGUCACCAGGGGAGAGAGUAGGAGGGGCGGGGUCAUCUUAGUUCUUUCUUCCUCUCAGAGCAAGAAUUCCUUCCACACCUUCCACUGACAGGUGGCUCCCCAGCCCCUGCUUGCAUGCUCCAAUGACAGGCCGCUCACUACCAGCCAAGCCAGUCCUGCCUGCUUUUGGAAGUCCUGGCUGUUAGUUAAAUUCUUUUGUAUGCGGGCCAAAGUCUCCCUUCCCUUUUGAUUUUACUCCUUUGUUCUGAUUCCAUCUGCUGGAGACCCGGCCCGUCCAGUCGGCUCCCUCUUUGCCAUGAUCUGCUAGAACCCACAGAUGUGGUUCACCACACCUUCCUUCUUCUCCGAUAGUGGGUCCCUGGGUUUCUUCUGAGGGUACCGCACCGUCCCCACUGCCGUCUCCCAUCCCAGGAAGCGACAAAGUCUUGUUUUAACGUCUGAACCGUGGCCUUAGAGACCAGAAGAAGAGGGGACACUUAAAACUAAGAGACUUCCCUUCUGUGUCUUUAUUAAACACACCCAGUUCCUUCUGCCACUCUUAGCUGCCUCAGUGGCUACCCCAGAUAUUUUUGUCUCUGGGUUGGGGUCUCCACGCUGGAGGUCAUCACAUGAAACCAGUGGCCGUACCAGGGACCCCCUCAUCUUACACAAGCUUUUUUUAUUUAUUUU